rnacentral:rRNA from 1 species
UACGUAGGGGGCAAGCGUUGUCCGGAAUCAUUGGGCGUAAAGAGCGUGUAGGCGGCCCGAUAAGUCUGCUGUGAAAGUCCAGGGCUCAACCCUGGGAUGCCGGUGGAUACUGUCGGGCUCGAGUCCGGAAGAGGAGUGUGGAAUUCCUGGUGUAGCGGUGAAAUGCGCAGAUAUCAGGAGGAACACCGGUGGCGAAGGCGGGUCUCUGGGCCGUAACUGACGCUGAGGAGCGAAAGCGUGGGGAGCGAACAGG